AUUGAACGCUGGCGGCAGGCCUAAUACAUGCAAGUCGAACGAGUGGCGGACGGGUGAGUAAUGUCUGGGAAACUGCCUGAUGGAGGGGGAUAACUACUGGAAACGGUAGCUAAUACCGCACACCAUCAGAUGUGCACAGAUGGGAUUAGCUAGUUGGUGGGGUAACGGCUCACCAAGGCGACGAUCCCUAGCUGGUCUGAGAGGAUGACCAGCCACACUGGAACUGAGACACGGUCCCGACUCCUACGUGAGGCAGCAGUGGGGAAUAUUGCACAAUGGGCACGAGCCUGAUGCCGCCAUGCCGCGUGUAUGAAGAAGGCCUUCGGGUUGUAAAGUACUUUCAGCGGUGAGGCGUUGCCCGCGGAGGAAGCACCGGCUAACUCCGUGCCGGCAGCCGCGGUAAUUC
rnacentral:rRNA from 1 species